GACGAACGCUGGCGGCGUGCCUAAUACAUGCAAGUAGAACGCAGUUGCGAACGGGUGAGUAACGCGUAGGUAACUGCCUCAUAGCGGGGGAUAACUAUUGGAAACGAUAGCUAAUACCGCAUACUGUGAGAUGGACCUGCGUUGUAUUAGCUAGUUGGUGAGGUAAAGGCUCGCCAAGGCGACGAUACAUAGCCGAGCUGAGAGGGUGGACGGCCACACUGGGACUGGGACACCGGCCAGACUCCUACGGGGGGCAGCAGUAGGGAAGCUUCCGCAAUUGGAGGAAGUCUGACCGGGCAACGCCGCGUGAGUGAAGGAGGUUUUCUGAGCGUAAAGCGCUGUUUUUAGAGAAGCGGGAACUAACCAGAAAGGGACGGCUUACUUCGUUCCAGGAGCCGCGGUAAUUAC
rnacentral:rRNA from 1 species